rnacentral:rRNA from 1 species
AACGAACGCUGGCGGCAUGCCUAACACAUGCAAGUCGAACGGAUGUAGCCAUACAUUAGUGGCGCACGGGAUAGUAACGCGUGGGAAUCUGCCUCAUAGUUCGGAAUAACACCGGGAAACUGGUGCUAAUACCGGAUACGCACUUCGGGGAAAGUUUUUCGCUAUGAGAGGAGCCCGCGUUGGAUUAGCUAGUUGGUAAGGUAAUGGCUCACCAAGGCGACGAUCCAUAGCUGGUCUGAGAGGACGAUCAGCAUCACUGGGACUGAGACACGGCCCAGACUCCUACGGGAGGCAGCAGUGGGGAAUAUUGGACAAUGGGGGAAACCCUGAUCCAGCAAUGCCGCGUGGGUGAUGAAGGUCUUCGGAUUGUAAAGCCCUUUUGGCAGGGACGAUGAUGACGGUACCUGCAGAAUAAGCUCCGGCUAACUUCGUGCCAGCAGCCGCCGCCG